GAACUUCCGUUAAUUGAUUAUGACGUACUUGUACUGAUUGAGAUUUUAACACGAAGUGAGUGGCGAACGGGUGAGUAACACGUGGGUAACCUGCCCAGAAGUAGGGGAUAACACCUGGAAACAGAUGCUAAUACCGUAUAACAGAGAAAACCGCAUGGUUUUCUUUUAAAAGAUGGCUCUGCUAUCACUUCUGGAUGGACCCGCGGCGUAUUAGCUAGUUGGUGAGGUAAAGGCUCACCAAGGCAGUGAUACGUAGCCGACCUGAGAGGGUAAUCGGCCACAUUGGGACUGAGACACGGCCCAGACUCCUACGGGAGGCAGCAGUAGGGAAUCUUCCACAAUGGACGCAAGUCUGAUGGAGCAACGCCGCGUGAGUGAAGAAGGGUUUCGGCUCGUAAAGCUCUGUUGUUAAAGAAGAACGUGGGUAAGAGUAACUGUUUACCCAGUGACGGUAUUUAACCAGAAAGCCACGGCUAACUACGUGCCAGCAGCCGCGGUAAUACGUAGGUGGCAAGCGUUAUCCGGAUUUAUUGGGCGUAAAGCGAGCGCAGGCGGUCUUUUAAGUCUAAUGUGAAAGCCUUCGGCUCAACCGAAGAAGUGCAUUGGAAACUGGGAGACUUGAGUGCAGAAGAGGACAGUGGAACUCCAUGUGUAGCGGUGAAAUGCGUAGAUAUAUGGAAGAACACCAGUGGCGAAGGCGGCUGUCUGGUCUGCAACUGACGCUGAGGCUCGAAAGCAUGGGUAGCGAACAGGAUUAGAUACCCUGGUAGUCCAUGCCGUAAACGAUGAUUACUAAGUGUUGGAGGGUUUCCGCCCUUCAGUGCUGCAGCUAACGCAUUAAGUAAUCCGCCUGGGGAGUACGACCGCA
rnacentral:rRNA from 1 species